rnacentral:rRNA from 1 species
GAUGAACGCUGGCGGUAUGCUUAACACAUGCAAGUCGAACGGACUCUUCGGAGUUAGUGGCGGACGGGUGAGUAACGCGUGAGAAUCUGGCUUUGGGUUCGGGACAACCACUGGAAACGGUGGCUAAUACCGGAUGUGCCGAGAGGUAAAAGAGAAAUUGCCUGAAGAUGAGCUCGCGUCUGAUUAGCUAGUUGGUGAGGUAAAGGCUCACCAAGGCAGCGACCAGUAGCUGGUCUGAGAGGAUGACCAGCCACACUGGGACUGAGACACGGCCCAGACUCCUACGGGAGGCAGCAGUGGGGAAUUUUCCGCAAUGGGCGAAAGCCUGACGGAGCAAUACCGCGUGAGGGAAGAAGGCUCUUGGGGUGUAAACCUCUUUUCUUAGGGAAGAACAAAAUGACGGUACCUAAGGAAUCAGCAUCGGCUAACUCCGUG